rnacentral:rRNA from 1 species
UGGCGGCGUGCCUAACACAUGCAAGUCGAGCGAUGAAAUCCUUCGGGAUGAAUAGCGGCGGACGGGUGAGUAACACGUGGGUAACCUGCCUUGUAGAGGGGGAUAGCCUUCCGAAAGGAAGAUUAAUACCGCAUAACAUCUUUUUAUCGCAUGGUAGAAAGAUCAAAAGGAGUAAUCCGCUACAAGAUGGACCCGCGGCGCAUUAGCUAGUUGGUGAGGUAACGGCUCACCAAGGCGACGAUGCGUAGCCGACCUGAGAGGGUGAUCGGCCACAUUGGAACUGAGACACGGUCCAGACUCCUACGGGAGGCAGCAGUGGGGAAUAUUGCGCAAUGGGGGGAAAAACCCCUGACGCAGCAACGCCGCGUGAAUGAAGAAGGCCUUAGGGUUGUAAAGUUCUGUUUACGGGGACGAUAAUGACGGUACCCGUGGAGGAAGCCACGGCUAACUACGUGCCAGCCGCAGC